CAGGUGAGUAUCUUUCUCACCUUCCUCACUGCCUCAGGCCAGAACAGCUUGGCUCCAUAGUGACUGUCCCAGCUUGUGGGUGCAAGGCCACAGUGUGGUACUGUCCUUUUCCCCACUCACAUUGUCCAGUGGUUGUGGGUACUGUGAAUUAUGCAGCUCUUUUCUAUACUGAGAAGGGGUUGGAAGAGGAUCUCCUCACCAGCAGAGAAGCCCUGACCCUUCUGCCUAAGUCCUUUGGCAGAGUUGUUCCUCUGAGUGUUGCAGUACAGUACAAUUGGUGCUAAUCCAAUGGGUGGAGCUCUCUGACUUUCACAGACUUACUGGAAAAUAAAUCCUUGCUUUCA